AUUGAACGCUGGCGGAAUGCUUUGCACAUGCAGGUCGAGCGGCAGCGCGGGGCAACCUGGCGGCGAGCGGCGAACGGGUGAGUAAUGUAUCGGAACGUGUCCUGUCGUGGGGGAUAGCCCGGUGAAAACCGGAUUAAUACCGCAUACGAUCGAGAGAUGAAAGUGGGGGACCGCAAGGCCUCACGCGAUAGGAGCGGCCGAUAUCUGAUUAGCUAGUUGGUGGGGUAAAGGCCCACCAAGGCUUCGAUCAGUAGCUGGUCUGAGAGGAUGAUCAGCCACACUGGGACUGAGACACGGCCCAGACUCCUACGGGAGGCAGCAGUGGGGGAUUUUGGACAAUGGGGGCAACCCUGAUCCAGCCAUUCCGCGUGAGUGAAGAAGGCCUUCGGGUUGUAAAGCUCUUUUGUCCGGGAAGAAACGGUUUCACCUAAUACGUGAGACUACUGACGGUACCGGAAGAAUAAGGACCGGCUAACUACGUGCCAGCAGCCGCCGUAA
rnacentral:rRNA from 1 species